ensembl:snRNA U6 U6 spliceosomal RNA
GUACUCACUUUGGCAGCACAUAUACUAAAAUUGGAACAAUUCAUAGGGGUUAUUAGUAUGGCCCCUGUCCAAGAUGACCCUCAAAUUCAUGAAGUAUUCCACAUUUUA